UGCGUCUCGACGCGGGUAAGGGUGAAAGGGUGGGGUAAGAGCCCACCGCGUCUCUGGUAACAGCGACGGCAUGGCAAGCCCCGCCUGGAGCAAGACCGAAUAGGGACGUCGCGCGGGUUCGCCCGCAGGGUUCACCGCCCGAGGCGUCCGGGUAGGUCGCGAGAACCAUCCGGCGACGGGUGGUCCAGAGGAAUGAUCGUCACCGCACCCCGGUGCGGGACAGAACCCGGCUUACAGGCCGUCUGGCAUU
rnacentral:RNase_P_RNA from 1 species